AGCCUGAUGCAGCCAUGCCGCGUGUGUGAAGAAGGCCUUCGGGUUGUAAAGCACUUUCAGCGGGGUAGGUAAGGCGGUGAGGUUAAUAACCUUGGCGAUUGACGUUACCCGCAGAAGAAGCACCGGCUAACUCCGUGCCAGCAGCCGCGGUAAUACGGAGGGUGCAAGCGUUAAUCGGAAUUACUGGGCGUAAAGCGCACGCAGGCGGUCUGUCAAGUCGGAUGUGAAAUCCCCGGGCUCAACCUGGGAACUGCAUUCGAAACUGGCAGGCUAGAGUCUUGUAGAGGGGGGUAGAAUUCCAGGUGUAGCGGUGAAAUGCGUAGAGAUCUGGAGGAAUACCGGUGGCGAAGGCGGCCCCCUGGACAAAGACUGACGCUCAGGUGCGAAAGCGUGGGGAGCAAACAGGAUUAGAAACCCCGGUAGUCC
rnacentral:rRNA from 1 species